ACCUUUUCAGGGGUUGUGUACCUUGCAGGACUUGCGUUCACUGGAGUGGAAGUCUGUCGCAUGGGUGACGCAUUAAAGGAGGAACUGCCCGAUAAUUGUGAGUGUUCUUGGCCAGACUCCUGUAAAAUAAAAGCGUACACACGCACAGCAUCUUCUCCAAGUUGAAGCGGCGGAGGAAGAAAGACCGACUUGCCACGGUUUACCGGGAGCAGGUGAAAGGACAGCCACAAACGACCAAACCAAUGCAAGCCCUGUGGCUGAAGCGGAGAGCUCAAGCAUCUUAACUCCAGUGAGUGGAUUUGAAGAAGAUGGAGAUGGUCACAUGAAUGUUGACCUUUCUAAACAUGCAACUGCAUUUCUUCUUCAAGCCAGAGAAACCCAUCGACUGACACAGAGAGCUGUUAACCAAAUGGUGAGUGGAGUCCAGCAAUAUCAGGCCGCAUUACUGGAGCACCUCAAACAGCAAAUGAGUGACAUGAUUGAGAGACAUUCUGGGAACCUGGAUCAACUAAAGAGUGAUGCAAUGGGGAUAUUUGACCAGUUUGUUGACCCUUUCAGUCAAAUUGCUUCCACCCAUUUGCAGGAUAAGACCAUCAAAGAACUGUUAGAACCAGUUGAACCAGAGAUUGUUGUCACAAAACAAACAGUAUGUUAUGUGAAACAUGGAGACUCCAGAGUUCUUACCAUUAAGGACCACUGUUUUCAUUAUAUACCGUUGGUGAAAAGCUUGGAGCAGCUGCUAUCACAUCCAAGAAUUAUUGCAAUGAUUGAUGAGAGGCCACAGACAUGCAAGGAUGGAUUUUUUCAUGAUUUCAUUGAUGGAGACAUUUUUAAAUCGCACCCACUGUUUUU